UACGUAGGGCGCAAGCGUUGUCCGGAAUUACUGGGCGUAAAGCGCGCGUAGGUGGUUUGUUAAGUUGGAUGUGAAAUCCCCGGGCUCAACCUGGGAACUGCAUCCAAAACUGGCAAGCUAGAGUAUGGUAGAGGGUGGUGGAAUUUCCUGUGUAGCGGUGAAAUGCGUAGAUAUAGGAAGGAACACCAGUGGCGAAGGCGACCACCUGGACUGAUACUGGCACUGAGGUGCGAAAGCGUGGGGAGCAAACAGG
rnacentral:rRNA from 1 species